GGUUCGAUUCUGGCUCAGAUUGAACGCUGGUGGGAUGUUUACACAUGCAAGUCGAACGGCAGCACGGACUUCGGUCUGGUGGCGAGUGGCGAACGGGUGAGUAAUGUAUCGGAACGUGCCUAGUAGCGGGGGAUAACUACGCGAAAGCGCUAAUACCGCAUACGCCCUUCGGGGGAAAGCGGGGACCUUCGGGCCUCGCACUAUUAGAGCGGCCGAUAUCGGAUUAGCUAGUUGGUGGGGUAACGGCUCACCAAGGCGACGAUCCGUAGCUGGUUUGAGAGGACGACCAGCCACACUGGGACUGAGACGACGGCCCAGACUCUACGGGAGGCAGCAGUGGGGAAUUUUGACAAUGGGGGAAACCCUGAUCCAGCCAUCCCGCGUGUGCGAUGAAGGCCUUCGGGUUGUAAAGCACUUUUGGCAGGAAAGAAACGGCACGGACACACCCGUGCAACUGACGGUACCUGCAGAAUAAGCACCGGCUAACUACGCCAGCAGCCGCGGUAAUACGUAGGGUGCAAGCGUUAAUCGGAAUUACUGGGCGUAAAGCGCGCAGGCGGUUCGAAAGAUGUGAAAUCCCAGAGCUUAACUUUGGAACUGCAUUUUUAACUACCGAGCUAGAGUGUGUCAGGAGGAGGUGGAAUUCGCGUAGCAGUGAAAUGCGCAGAUAUGCGGAGGAACACCGAUGGCGAAGGCAGCCUCCCUGGGAUAACACUGACGCUCAUGCACGAAAGCGUGGGGGAGCCAAACAGGAUUAGAUAUUCCCUGGUAGUCCACGCCCUAAACGAUGUCAACUAGCUGUUGGGGCCUUCGGCCUGGUAGCGCAGCUAAUGCGUGAAGUUGACCGCCUGGGGAGUACGGUCAAGAUUAAAAACUCAAAGGAAUUGACGGGGACCCGCACAAGCGGUGGAUGAUGUGGAUUAAUUCGAUGCAACGCGAAAAACCUUACCUACCCUUGACAUGUCUGGAAUCCCGAAGAGAUUCGAAGAGUGCUCGCAAGAGAACCGGAACACAGGUGCUGCAUGGCUGUCGUCAGCUCUUUGUGUCGAGAUGUUGGGUUGUCCCAACGAGCGCAACCCUGUCAUUAGCUGCUACGAAAGGCACUCUAAUGAGACUGCCGGUGACAAACCGGAGGAAGGUGGGGAUGACGUCAAGUCCUCAUGGCCCUGCGGGUAGCUUCACACGUCAUACAAUGGUCGGGACAGAGGGUCGCCAACCCGCGAGGGGGAGCCAUUUCCAGAAACCCGAUCGUAGUCCGGAUCGCAGUCUGCAACCCGACUGCGUGAAGUCGGAAUCGCUAGUAAUCGCGGAUCAGCAUGUCGCGGUGAAUACGUUCCCGGGUCUUGUACACACCGCCCGUCACACCAUGGGCGGGUUUUACCAGAAGUAGUUAGCCUAACCGUAAGGAGGGCGAUUACCACGGUAGGAUUCAUGACUGGGGUGAAGUCGCGUCAGCGUAA
rnacentral:rRNA from 1 species